GGUGAAGCGACUAAGCGUACACGGUGGAUGCCCUGGCAGUCAGAGGCGAUGAAGGACGUGCUAAUCUGCGAAAAGCGUCGGUAAGGUGAUAUGAACCGUUAUAGCCGGCGAUGUCCGAAUGGGGAAACCCAGUGUGAUUCGUCACACUAUCGUUAACUGAAUACAUAGGUUAACGAGGCGAACCGGGGGAACUGAAACAUCUAAGUACCCCGAGGAAAAGAAAUCAACCGAGAUUCCCCCAGUAGCGGCGAGCGAACGGGGAGCAGCCCAG
rnacentral:rRNA from 1 species